UAGAAGGAAAGAAGAGAGAAGAGGCAGAAGAAUAGAGAGAAGAAGGGUUAGUGAUAGAGAGGGAGAUAGGACUAGUUUUUUCUUGCUCUCUUCUUAGUUCACUCUUCUCACAGUAGCAAAAACCCUAAUUUUUAAAUGCACGUCCAUUUUUUAUUUUCUUCUGUUAUAUCGAGAUGUUGCUUUUUGGCAAAAUUUGGAAGAGGAGAUGGCAACAACCAGGAAUGUAGUGCCCCUAAUCAUAGAAGUUUUGGAGCUUCUGGUCAAUGGACAGGUGGCUGUUGCAGCCAAUAAGAUAUAUUUUCAAGAGGUAUUUCCUUAAGGAUAAUAUUGUCAGGCUCAAGUUGGUGGCAGACAAAGACAUCCCACUAUUUUACUGAUAUCUGUUUUCCCAAGCAUGGUAUAUAUUGAUAAUUAUUGGUUAUAUUGGGGGAUAUUGCAUAUUGUCAUUUCAGUAUCCAAGGUAUUUGGUAUAAUGCAACAAAAUACAUAUGAUAAUGCAUAUUGGGAUUACUCCCAUUGAACUCAAUGAAUUUAUCUUCAGAGGUUUGUAGGAUGUCGGGCAUUAUUUGGGUUCUGGAACCCCAAACCAUAAACCAGUCCUUAAACCAGUUAGGGAAUGGGUUUGAUACUGGGAGUUUGAAUUGUAAAAACCAGGUAUGAGAAUAAUAUUGGUUUUGAAUUGUAAGCACUUUGUGCCACGCUUCAAUAUAUUCAGAAUAACGAAAAUGUUUAUUUGGGAA